AUAAUACUUCUAAUUCUAAUAAUACUUCUACUUUAUUAUACUUUAUUAAUAACACUUUAUAAAUAAUACAUUAUAAAUAAUACUUCUAAUACUGAUAAUACUUAUACUUUAUUAAUUAAUUAUUCUCACAAUGGACUUGUCUCUGUACUUGUAUUAUUAGAUCUUAGUGCUGCAUUUGACACCAUUGACCAUAAUAUUCUUUUACAGAGACUUUAGCAUCAAAUUGACAUUAAAGGAACCGCACUAAGCUGGUUUAAGUCAUAUUUAUCAGAUCGUUCUCAGUUUGUACAUGUUAACGAUGAAUCUUCAAUAAAUACUACAGUUAGUCAUGGAGUUCCACAAGGUUCUGUACUUGGACCAAUACUAUUUACUUUAUAUAUGCUCCCUUUAGGCAACAUUAUUAGGAAUCACUCAACUUUCACUGUUAUGCAGAUGAUACGCAGUUAUAUCUAUCAAUCAAGCCUGAUGAAAUUAAUCAAUUAUCUAAAUUACAAACAUGUCUUAAGGACAUAAAAUCCUGGAUGAGCUGCAAUUUUCUGAUGUUAAACUCAGAAAAAAACGAAAUUCUUGUUCUUGGCCCCAAAAACCUUAGAGACUCACUGUCUAAAGAUAUAGUUACUCUAGAUGGCAUUACCUUGGCCUCUAGCACCACUGUCAGGAAUUAUCUUUGAUCAGGAUUUGUCAUUUAACUCCCACAUAAAGCAGACCUCUAGGACCGCCUUCUUUCAUUUACGUAAUAUUAGAAAAAUUAGACACAUCCUAUCACAGACAGAUGCAGAAAAACUAAUCCAUGCAUUUGUUACUUCUAGGCUGGAUUACUGCAACUCUUUAUUAUCAGGUUGCCCCAAUAAGUCCAUUAAAACGCUCCAAUUAAUUCAGAACGCUGCAGCACGAGUACUGACAGGAACUAGAAAAAGAGAUCACAUCUCUCCUGUACUAGCUUCUCUGCAUUGGCUCCCUGUAAAAUGUAGAAUAGAAUUUAAAAUCCUCCUCCUCACCUAUAAAGCUCUUCAUGGUCAGGCCCCUUCAUAUCUUAAAGAGCUCAUAGUACCCUAUUACCCCUCUAGAACACUACGUUCUCUGAAUGCUGGGCUACUUGUGGUUCCUAUAGUCUCUAAAAGUAGAACAGGAGCCAGAGCCUUCAGUUACCAAGCUCCUCUCCUGUGGAACCAGCUUCCAGUUGUGGUUCUGGAGGCAGACACCCUCACCACAUUUAAGAGUAGGCUUAAGACAUUCCUCUUUGAUAAAGCUUAUAGUUAGGGCUGGAUCAGGUGAGUCCUGAACCAUCCCUUAGUUAUGCUGUUAUAGGCCUAGACUAUCGGGGGAUUUCCCAUGGUGCACUGAGCUCCUCUCUUCCUCUCUCUUUCUGCACUCAUUCAUGUUCCAUUAAUGCAUGUUACUAACUUCACUUCUUCCCCGGAGUUCUUGUGCUUUCUCGUCUUGAAGGUUCUUAUCGAUCCUGGUGGAGCCUCCUGCCAUGGUCCUGCUAGAUUGCCAUUGCCAAUACUGUUGUUGCUGUGCACCUGUCUGUCUGUCUGUCUGUCUGUCUGUCUGUCUGUCUGUCUCUCUCACCCCAACUGGUCGAGACAGACGACCACCCACCUAGAGCCGAAGGAUCUGUCCUAGGUUUCUGCCUUUUAACAGGCAGUGUUUCCUUGCCCUUGUCUCCAAGUGCUUGCUCAUGGUGGUACUGUUGGGUCUCUGUAAUUAAUGUUAAAGAGUUCGGUCUAGACCUGCUCUAUUUGAAAAGUGUCCUGAGAUAACUUCUGUUAUGAAUUGGCGCUAUACAAAUAAAAUUGAAUUGAAUUGAAAAA